AUUGAACGCUGGCGGCAUGCCUUACACAUGCAAGUCGAACGGUAACAGCACUUCGGUGGCUGACGAGUGGCGAACGGGUGAGUAAUACAUCGGAACGUGCCCGAGAGUGGGGGAUAACGCAGCGAAAGCUGUGCUAAUACCGCAUACGAUCUACGGAUGAAAGCAGGGGACCGCAAGGCCUUGCGCUCAUGGAGCGGCCGAUGGCAGAUUAGGUAGUUGGUGGGAUAAAAGCUUACCAAGCCGACGAUCUGUAGCUGGUCUGAGAGGACGACCAGCCACACUGGGACUGAGACACGGCCCAGACUCCUACGGGAGGCAGCAGUGGGGAAUUUUGGACAAUGGGCGAAAGCCUGAUCCAGCCAUGCCGCGUGCAGGAUGAAGGCCUUCGGUGUAACUGCUUUGUACGGAACGAAAGGUACGUUUCUAAUAAAGAAGGACUCAUGACGGUACCGUAAGAAUAAGACACCGGCUAACUACGUGCCAGC
rnacentral:rRNA from 1 species